rnacentral:lncRNA from 1 species
GGCAUUUAUCAAUUCUGUACAUGUUCUUCUGACUUCCAGCUGCCACCAAACAUGACUCUCUGUCUGUGGGUGUUCUCCAACCAUGGAACAUGUUAGUGCCAAGAACUUAACUUCAAGAGCAGCCUGCCACUAAUAACUGAAGAGUUUUGAUUUCUGACUGUGUGAUUCACAGUUGAAAAUGCAGUGAGAGGUGAUUGUGGCUGAGGGAAACAAAAUGAAGGUCUAAAACAAUAAAAAGCACUCCUCUGCAACCUUCCCACAGAACAGACUUCUAAAGGAAACAUUUGGCCAGAGGACAAGGCCCAGCAAACAUGCAUUCUUUUUACUACUAUUCCAGUAUAACUCCUGGCUGGUGUCAAACUCCUGACCUCAGGUGAUCUGACUGCACUGGUAAAGAAAGUUUUGGAAGGCAGCUAUGCUCACCACUAUACCACCAACGCUAAAGAAAGUUUUGACUGUGACCAAUCACAUGAGAAACUCAUGGCACUAAAAAAUACUUACCAUGUAAAUAUUGACUGACUGGACAAUGAAAGUGAAGAAUGAAAUGGUAUUAUUCAACAAAAGGAUAUUAGUAACUACAAUAUGCUUCUUAGACAGGUAAGCUUGAUCAGUUAUAACCAUUUGCAAACACUGAAAGGAAUUGCAUGAGUAUAUUGGUAUCUCUGAGAAUAAUUUGGUGAUAUAAAAACCCAGCAAAACAAUAAAUCGAUAGAAAAACUUACAGGAUG